rnacentral:misc_RNA from 1 species
GAUGAAGAACGCAGCGAAAUGCGAUAAGUAAUGUGAAUUGCAGAAUUCAGUGAAUCAUCGAAUCUUUGAACGCACAUUGCGCCCCUUGGUAUUCCGAGGGGCAUGCCUGUUCGAGCGUCAUUAUAACCCCUCAAGCUCAGCUUGGUGUUGGGGCCUGCUGCACUGGCAGCCCUUAAAGUCAGUGGCGGCGCCAUCUGGCUCUAAGCGUAGUAAUUCUUCUCGCUAUGGAGUCCUGGUGGAUGCUUGCCAUCAACCCCCAAUUUUUCUAUGGUUGACCUCGGAUCAGGUAGGGAUACCCGCUGAACUUAAGCAUAUCAAUAAGCGGAGGA